UACGAGGGGGGCGAGCGUUGUUCGGAAUUAUUGGGCGUAAAGAGCUCGUAGGCGGUGUGUCGCGUCGGCCGUGAAAACCCGAGGCUCAACUUCGGGCUUGCAUUCGAUACGGGCAGGCUGGAGUUCGGUAGGGGAGACUGGAAUUCCUGGUGUAGCGGUGAAAUGCGCAGAUAUCAGGAGGAACACCGGUGGCGAAGGCGGGUCUCUGGGCGAGUGAACUCGUGAGGAGCGAAAGCAUGGGUAGCGAACAGG
rnacentral:rRNA from 1 species